rnacentral:rRNA from 1 species
UACGAAGGGGGCUAGCGUUGCUCGGAAUCACUGGGCGUAAAGGGUGAGUAGGCGGGUUUUUAAGUAAGGGGGGAAAUCCUGGAGCUCAACUCCAGAACUGCCUUUGAUACUGAAGAUCUUGAGUCCGGGAGAGGUGAGUGGAACUGCGAGUGUAGAGGUGAAAUUCGUAGAUAUUCGCAAGAACACCAGUGGCGAAGGCGGCUCACUGGCCCGGUACUGACGCUGAGGCACGAAAGCGUGGGGAGCAAACAGG